GCCUUCAGGCUUCUGGUCUCCAGCGGCGGGGAACUCACACCUGCCGCUGUGAAAAUGCAGACCCGCGAGGCAGGAAUUCCGAGUCCAGCCUGGGGCGCAAUCUGGAAUCUUGACUCGCUUGAAACACCGCGGCGGAUUCGGAGACAGGUGAGUAUGGAAAUGAGCCUCAGCCCCUCCCACGGGCCGCCCACGGAUUCCAGGAUCCGGAAACUCUUCCUGCUGCUGCGUCACCCAAGGAAGGCAGCGCCCGCCUCUGGGCCGUUCUGAUGGAAACUGGCUCCGCCGCCCAGAGGAAAACCCACAACUAAGGGGCCAAGAAAAAGCCUCCAUGGUCCCGCCCUUUCAGUGAGGAUCCUAAUUUAUACCCCGAGUGUGGCCCCCAUCAAAGUCUGCAGUGACAGCCGAGCGCGGUGGCUCACGCCUGUAAUCCCGGCACUUUGGGAGACCAUGGCGGACGGAUCACUUGAGGUCAGGAGUUCGAGACCAGCUUGGCCAACAUGGUGAAGCCCCUUCUCUACUAAAAAUACAAAAAUUAGCCGGGUGUGGUGGUAGGCGCCUGUAGUCCCAGCUACUCGGAGGCGGAGGCAGAAGAAUGGCGUGAACCCGGGAGGCGGAGCUUGCAGGGAGCCGAGAUCGCGCCACUGCACUCCAGCCUGGGCGACAGAGUGAGACUCCAUCUCACAAAAAAAGAAAAAAAAACGUAGAGUGACGUUCACUGAAAUACUAGACCAGCGGGAGGGACCCAGAGCGCUGCGGUUCACAGAAUGCGGUGACAGCGCCGCCUCGCGUCCUUUCCUUCACCUGCCCCAGGCAGACGUGGUCACGUGUGUUGGCCUGGAGGCUGGAAUACACUGGGGUCAAAAGCAGAGAGUGGGCAAAGGAGGGAAGGAUGGGAGGACGUGUUGAAGAAAGACAGGAAGAGCUGGCGCUAUGGUUCAUACCCAUAAAACUAGCGUUUUCGGAGGCGAGGCAGGAGGCUCGUGAGACACCAGGAGUUUGAGGUUGCAGUGAGCCAUGAUCGCACCACUGCACUCCAACCUGGACGACAGAGUGAGACCCUGCUUUUAUAUACUUUUCAUAUUUUCUGUAAUUAAGCAAGUUUUGUGUCCGGAAUUGGUGGGUUCUUGAUCUCACUGACUUCAAGAAUGAAGCCGCGGACCCUCGCGGUGAGUGUUACAGCUUUUAAGGUGGCGCGUCUGGAGUUUGUUCCUUCUGAUGUUCGGAUGUGUCCGGAGUUUUUUCCUUCUGGUGGGUUCGUGGUCUCGCUGGCUCAGGAGUGAAGCUGCAGACCUUCACGGAAGCGAGGUAACUGACAGACGGCCAAGGCAGCCCCUUAGGUGGCUUAGGCCUGCCCUGUGGAGCAUCCCUGCAGUGGACUCUGGCCAGCCUGAGUGACGCGAUCCAAAGAGCGCUCCCGGGUAGGAAAUUCCCCGGGUGGAACGCCUUGCCAGAGCAGCACGUAGCAGGCCCCCGAGGAGGAUUAACACAGUGGCUGAACACUGGGAAGGAACUGGCACUUGGAGUCUGGACAUCUGAAACUUGGUAAGACUAGUCUUUGGAACUUGCUCCACUCCAUCUGAGUGGAAGCGUGGCCUGAUCACCCAUGGUGUGCCUGUACUGGCACUUUUGUUCUGGUUUUGACUUGACUUAGAUUGUGUGAUACUUUGGUUUUGGUUUUGGUUUUGACCUGGCUUGGGUUUCUGGAUACUCUGAUUUUGGUUUGGUGUAAACUGCAAAAGUGUGUGUGCCCUUUUUACCUGUUUUUUUGUUUCGUAGUGUGCGUGUGGUGUGAGCGUGGUGUUUUGUCUCGAAGAAGCAUGGGUCAGGCACAAAUAAGCCCACCCCACUAGGAACUAUGUUAAAAAAAAUUUUUUUUCAAGAAAGAAUUUAAGGGAGAUUACGGUGUUACUGUGACACCAGGAAAACUUAGAACUUGUGAAAUAGACUGGCCAGCAUUAGAGGUGGGUUGGCCAUCAGAAGGAAGCCUGGACAGGUCCCUUGUUUCAAAGGUAUGACACAAAGUAACCUGUAAGCCAAGGCAUCCAGACCAGUUUCUGUACAUAGACAGUUACAGCUGGUUUUAGACCCCCUUCCCCCCACAGUAGUUAAGAGAA